rnacentral:rRNA from 1 species
CCUACGGGGGGCUGCAGUGGGGAAUAUUGGACAAUGGGGGCAACCCUGAUCCAGCCAUGCCGCGUGUGUGAAGAAGGCCCUCGGGUUGUAAAGCACUUUCAGUGAGGAAGAACGCCUGGUGGUUAAUACCCAUCAGGAAAGACAUCACUCACAGAAGAAGCACCGGCUAACUCCGUGCCAGCAGCCGCGGUAAUACGGAGGGUGCGAGCGUUAAUCGGAAUUACUGGGCGUAAAGCGCGCGUAGGUGGCUUGAUAAGCCGGUUGUGAAAGCCCCGGGCUCAACCUGGGAACGGCAUCCGGAACUGUCAAGCUAGAGUGCAGGAGAGGAAGGUAGAAUUCCCGGUGUAGCGGUGAAAUGUGUAGAGAUCGGGAGGAAUACCAGUGGCGAAGGCGGCCUUCUGGACUGACACUGACACUGAGGUGCGAAAGCGUGGGUAGCAAACAGGAUUAGAUACCCGGGUAGUC